ACUUUCAGUAGGGAGGAAGGUAGUGUACGUUAACACCUGCAUUAUUUGACGUUACCUACAGAAGAAGCACCGGCUAACUCCGUGCCAGCAGCCGCGGUAAUACGGAGGGUGCGAGCGUUAAUCGGAAUUACUGGGCGUAAAAGCGCAUGCAGGCGGCCUGUUAAGUCAGAUGUGAAAAGCCCGGGCUUAAACCUCGGAAAUUGCAUUUGAAAACUGGCAGGCUAGAGUCUUGUAGAGGGGGUAGAAUUUCAGGUGUAGCGGUGAAAAUGCGUAGAGAUCUGAAGGAAUACCAGUGGCGAAGGCGGCCCCUGGACAAAGACUGACGCUCAGAUGCGAAAGCGUGGGGAGCAAACAGGAUUAGAUACCCUCGGUAG
rnacentral:rRNA from 1 species